AGWGGAWGGAGAAGUCGUAACAAGGUUUCCGUAGGUGAACCUGCGGAAGGAUCAUUGUCGAAACCUGCCCAGCAGAAUGACCUGUGAACUCUUUAAAAACACCGGAGGGUGCGUGCCUUGAGUGCGUUCCCCUCCCUUCUUCAUCAGGCGUGGGCUUGCGCUCGUGCUUGUUGUAGAACAACCACCCCCGGGCGCAGCAUGCGCCAAGGAAAACUAACAAGAGAGCACGAUCUCARGACCCAUACAUGGUGUGCUUGGGACGCGGUGCCUUCUUCAAAUUAUCUAUAACGACUCUCGNCANNNNNNNNNNNNNNNNNNNCAUCGAUGAAGAACGCAGCGAAAUGCGAUACUUGGUGUGAAUUGCAGGAUCCCGUGAACCAUCGAGUCUUUGAACGCAAGUUGCGCCCUAAGCUGUUAGGCUGAGGGCACGUCUGCUUGGGUGUCACGCAUCAUUGCCCAAUCCUCACCCCUCUGGGGCCAGAUGGUGUAGGCAGAGAAUGGCCUCCCGUGAGCAGCCACUCGCGGUUGGCCCAAAAAUGAGUCUUCGGUGACGGAAGCCGCGACGAUCGGUGGUGCAAACUYGCCUCUCGAGUUCACGUCGCGUGCUUACGUCUUCGAUUAGAGACUCAAGGACCCUGACGCUCUGCAAAAGCGGAGCUCGCAUCGCGACCCCAGGUCAGGCGGGAUUACCCGCUGAGUUUAAGC
rnacentral:misc_RNA from 1 species